rnacentral:lncRNA from 1 species
ACCACAUUGCAAUGACCUAAAACAACAAAGAUUUAUUAUCUUAUAGUUCUGUAGUUCUGAAUUCUACAACAAGUCUGCCUGGACAAACACGAGGGUGUCUUGUUGGCAGGAUUGUCUUUCUUGGUGGAUGCUCUGGGGAGAAUCUGUUUUCUUGCACAUUCCAGCUUCUAGAGGCCACCACAUUCCUUCUCUCAUGCCCCUUUCUCCAUUUUUGAAUCCAGCCUAGUGUUGAAUUCUCAAACACUGCUUCACUCCGACCUCUUCUGACUUCCUCUUCCACAUUGAAGGAGAUGUGUGAUUACAGUGGGCCCACAUGGAUAAUACAGGAUAAUAUCCCUUUUUUAAAGUCAGAACUUUAAUUCCAUCUUCUACCUUGAUUCCCCUUUGCUAUGUGAUAUGACAUAUUCACAGGUUCUGGGAAUUGUGACAUGGACAUCUCAGAGAGGGGGUCAUAAUUCUAUUACAGUGGCUUAGAAAUUCUGGUGCAUCUUAACUGAGGGUCUCUCGUGAGGUUGCAGUCAAGAUGUCAGCUGGUCUUGGUAGAUGCACGUCUCAGGCUUAGGGCCGCACAGAGAGCACCUCAUGGCAUUGGUCUUUACCAGCUGACCUGGCUGAGACUGGGGGUGAUGUCCUGGUGGGACCUGCAGUUGGAGAAAGUCUGUGAUAUGACAGCCACUCACACGAGGUUCCCAGGGAAGAGAACCAGAGCUUGAAUCCAGGCUGGAGACUUGUGCUGCACCAAGCCACACCAGGAGGAAGGUGAGCAGACCAGCUGAUCCCACCAUCUUUCCCCUCUCUCACAGACAAAACUCUUGGAAGCUAGGAUUAUUCUCUAGGAAAAAUACUUAAUUUUUCAAAAUGUUUAUUUAUUUAUUUUGAGACAGAGAGAGACAGAGACAGCGAGAGAGCCCUAGUGCAAGCAGGGGAGGGGUAGAGAAAGGGGGAGAGAGAGAAUCCCAAGCAUGCUCCACACUGUCAGCGUAUGGGGGACUCUAUCUUACGAACCGUGAGAUCAUGACCUGAGCAAAAAUCAAGAGUUGGAUGCUCAACGGACUGAGCCACCCAGGAGCCCCUUUAAACUUUUUUUUUUUUUUAAAUUAGAAGUUCUCUACUACCAAAGUAGAACAUCUCUAGAGUUGUCUGGAUUCUAGCAUUUCGGGACCAUCCAGUGGACAACUGCCUUCCUGCUCAGUCACCUGCAAGAUGACAGGCCUCUCCCAUUCAUACAAUUUCUUAAUCCCUCAUUCUUAAACAUGAACAGAAAUCCAAG